GUAGGUGGCGAGCGUUGUUCGGAUUUAUUGGGCGUAAAGGGUCUGUAGGAGGUUUGUUAAAUACGGGGUGAAAUCCGGGAGCUCAACUCCCGAACUGCCCUGUAGACUGACAGACUAGAGUACCGGAGAGGUAAGCGGAAUACCAAGUGUAGCGGUGGGAUGCGUAGAUAUUUGGUAGAACACCAACAGCGAAGGCAGCUUACUGGCCGGCAACUGACUCUGAAAGACGAAAGCAUGGGGAGCAAACAGGAUUAGAUACCCUGGUAGUCCAUGCCGUAAACGUUGUCAACUUGAUGUGGGUGGAUUUAGUCCUAUCCGUAUCGAAGCCAACGCGAUAAGUUGACCGCCUGGGGACU
rnacentral:rRNA from 1 species